rnacentral:rRNA from 1 species
UGGGGAAUAUUGCACAAUGGGCGCAAGCCUUAUGCAGCAACGCCGCGUGAACGAUGAAGGUCUUCGGUUCGUAAAGUUCUUUUGCAGGGGUAGCUAAUGACGGUACCCUGUGAGGAAGCCCCGGCUAACUACGUGCCAGCAGCCGCGGUAAUACGUAGGGCGCAAGCGUUAUCCGGAAUUAUUGGGCGUAAAGAGCUUGUAGGCGGUUCGUCGCGUCUGGUGUGAAAGCCCAUCGCUUAACGGUGGGUUUGCGCCGGGUACGGGCGGGCUAGAGUGCAGUAGGGGAGACUGGAAUUCCCGGUGUAACGGUGGAAUGUGUAGAUAUCGGGAAGAACACCAAUGGCGAAGGAAGGUCUCUGGGCUGUUACUGACGCUGAGAAGCGAAAGCGUGGGGAGCGAACAGG